rnacentral:rRNA from 1 species
GUCUGAAAGGUAUGCUAAUACGGGAUAAUAUAUUUGGGAGGCAUCUCUUGAAUAUCAAAGGUGAGCCAGUACAGGAUGGACCCGCGUCUGAUUAGCGAGUUGGUAAGGUAACGGCUUACCAAGGCGACGAUCAGUAGCCGACCUGGGAGGGUGAUCGGCCACAUUGGAACUGAGACACGGUCCAAACUCCUACGGGAGGCAGCAGUGGGGAAUAUUGCACAAUGGGCGAAAGCCUGAUGCAGCAACGCCGCGUGAGUGAUGAAGGCCUUCGGG